rnacentral:rRNA from 1 species
GACGAACGCUGGCGGCAUGCCUAAUACAUGCAAGUCGAGCGAACAGAUGAAGUGCUUGCACUUCUGACGUUAGCGGCGAACGGUUGAGUAACACGUAAGGAAUCUACCUAUAAGCGGGGGAUAACAUUCGGAAACGGGUGCUAAUACCUCAUAAUAUCUUCUUCCGCAUGGAAGAAGAUUGAAAGACGGCUCCGCUGUCACUUAUAGAUGACCUUGCGGUGCAUUAGUUAGUUGGUGGGGUAAUGGCUUACCAAGACGAUGAUGCAUAGCCGACCUGAGAGGGUGAUCGGCCACAUUGGGCCUGAGGCACGGCCCAAACUCCUACGGGAGGCAGCAGUAGGGAAUCUUCCGCAAGGGGCGAAAGCCUGACGGAGCAAUGCCGCGUGAGUGAAGAAGGUCUUCGGGUCGUAAAACUCUGUUAUAAGAGAAGAACAAACUGUAGAGUAACUGCUACAGUCUUGACGGUAUCUUAUCAGAAAGCCACGGCUAACUACGUGCCAGCAGCCGCGGUAA